CAACACUCAAACAAAAACAGUCAUCUCAGGCAGAAACAGACUCAGGAAGCGGGAUUCCUGACACUCUUCAUGAGUAGCGACACAUGCGAAGACUUGGUGGCUGCAUGCGGCGUGUUCCUGUAGGAUAGCAGGAAGCUGUUCAAGCAUUGGUGCAGUGUCCUUUGAACUUGAGGCGCUUUUAAGACCCGUUUCAUGGUCUGUACGAACCUCUCCGCCAGCCCGUUGGUAGAUGAAUGAUAUGGUCUGGACCUGAUGUUCUGUACUCCAUUCACCUGUAGGGACUUGGCCAUUUCUCUAGUUGCGGUCCGUUGUCGCUAACGAGUCGGAUGUCCACUUGGAGUGACCUUGGCUUGACCACAGGUAGUGGUAACCUGGAGAGUCCAUCUGUGUUGCAGUGUCGUAGGGGUGUACUGACAACAACAAAGCCCACAUUUUGCUUUCAGCAAGUGAAGGAAUCAGAGUGUGCGGUCCAAAGAUGCUCGUCAGCGGAUGAUCUUCUUUGACGUUUUCUCGGAGCUCUUUGUGUCCCGCUGCGCCACGGUGGAAGCAUGUGCCCUGAUUUCUCUCUCUGAUUUUGAGUCCUGCUUUCUGUCCGUCCAUCUGUCUGUGCAGGGCCUGAAGCCCCAGACGCG
rnacentral:lncRNA from 1 species